CAUGGCUCAGGACGAACGCUGGCGGCGUGCCUAAUACAUGCAAGUCGAACGAACCGCGACUAGGUGCUUGCACUUGGUCAAGGUGAGUGGCGAACGGGUGAGUAACACGUGGGUAACCUACCUCAUAGUGGGGGAUAACAGUCGGAAACGACUGCUAAUACCGCAUAGGACAUAGGAUCACAUGAUCCAGUGAGGAAAGGUGGCGCAAGCUAUCGCUAAGAGAUGGACCCGCGGUGCAUUAGCUAGUUGGUAGGGUAAAGGCCUACCAAGGCGAUGAUGCAUAGCCGACCUGAGAGGGUGAUCGGCCACAUUGGGACUGAGACACGGCCCAAACUCCUACGG
rnacentral:rRNA from 1 species